rnacentral:rRNA from 1 species
UACGGAGGGUGCAAGCGUUGUUCGGAAUUACUGGGCGUAAAGCGCGUGCAGGCGGCCGAUUAAGUCCGGUGUGAAAGCCCGGGGCUCACCCCCGGAAGUGCGCUGGAAACUGAUCGGCUAGAGUGCGGGAGAGGGAAGCGGAAUUCCUGGUGUAGCGGUGAAAUGCGUAGAUAUCAGGAGGAACACCGGCGGCGAAGGCGGCUUCCUGGACCGACACUGACGCUGAGACGCGAAAGCGUGGGGAGCAAACAGG